UGGACGGUUCAGUUUCUAAUUAGCAUUUGCGCCAUUCACGGGAUUUCAACUCACAGUCAUAUCAUUCCCCUCCCACUCUCUCCCCCCAUUACUUCCACCCUCUCUCCUCCCUCGGUUGGAAUCGUUCCUAACCCUAGCCGCCGCCUCCUUCCGAAUCUACUUCUACCUACCGUCAUCUCGACGAACGGCCUUUGUCACGGCGAAUCGGUGACCAUCUCGACGAGGGAAUCCCGGUGUAUACCCAACAAAUUCAGUUUCGGUGACGGAAGCAUUUCAAUUAACGUCUUAUUUCAACUGCGGGGUGAAAAGUUCCUGAAGAACUUCCUACAAAAUGGUGAACAAGCAAACCAUUUCGAAAAGGCCUGCUAGUCAACCGACAAGUAAUCUACUUUUUUGUUUCAAAGUAUUGCUUAGACAUUGUUAACCUCAUUCUGUACAUUGUUAUAUGUCAUAUGCUACAUUAUACCACAAUCUUUACGCAUUAUUUAAGAAAAUCCCAUUUAUGUUAAAUCAUCAAUGAAGUUUAGUUCAUGAAUAGAGUACAUUAUUUUGUGUUAAAGGUUCAUCAUGCAAAGUAAAAUUUGAUGCUUUCUUCGUAGUAGCAGAGUACAUUGUUUGUUUGCAGUUUGUGGAUUAAACUUCAUUUUGGUGAAGUUUUGGUACAUUAUUAUUGUAGGACUCAUUAUCGUUUGUUCUGUUGCUACAUUAUAGAUACAUUUAUGGUACAUUAUGUACACAGUUUUGUACGUGAUGUUGUUAUGCUACAUCAUGUCUGCACAUUAAUACAUCAUUUGAAACUGCAUUAUUACCUUAUAAAUAUACAUUACUCAAACCAGAUCAGUAACUUUACUACUACUAUCAGUGAAUAUUGUUUUUAUGGGAAAUGAUGUAUACACUUUAGUACAUGAAUAGCUUCUGCUGAUAUUACUGUUGUUGUGAUGCAUCAUGUUUGGAAAUUAGUACAUCAUAGGUGACUACAUUAAGUAAUGAUUAAUAUACAUUACUCAAAUCCAAUUGAGCUUGUUUACGCGAACUGUCAGCAAACAUUUUUUUUUGAGUGUAUAAUUUUGAUAUUGUUGUUUUGAUAUGCUAAUCUUUUUUUUGGGUUGGUUUGUCGUUAUUAUUUUAGCACAAAUUUUUUGCUGUUGUGCUGGAAAAGUGUAGGGUUCCCAAAAUAGCUGAACAAGUCCGCAAAUGUGCAACCCAUCUUGUAACAUUGCCGUGGACGACGGAACUGAACCCCAUGGACGCAGGUAUGUAUUUGAUGCGUCAUAUGGAAACAUUUUUCGGCGCUUCACAAAAGGAUUGGGAGUGCGGUCUCUCUGCUAAGGGGUCCAAGAGCUUGGGAAUGUUGAGGAUUAAGUACAUGCGUACCUUGCAGACUUGUGCUCACAACAGUAGAGGUAAAAUUAACCAGACCCACGCAACAAGGCAUUGGAACGAAAGGCGGGCAAGGUUCAACUUCGGGAAGUGGUUUGAAGAGUAUGGUUUGGAGUAGGGUGUUCUUAUUAUGAAACAAUUAGCAGUAAUGGGGUUUUGGUAGUUAAACUUCUGAGAUUGUUUUUUAAUGAAUGGAUGUUUGGUUUCUGUAGUUAACUUAUGGUUUUGUUUCUAAUGAAUGGAUGUUAAAUGGGUCUGUUAGAGGUGAUCAA